GGUGUCAAACCCAAACCGUCCCCUCAAAACAAAGGGGAACAAACUCUGAAGCCCCCAGGCCCCGGCCCGCUUCCCAGCGCACAGGCUGUUCCGCUGACAAUCCUCACGUUUCUUCUCAAAACGCACUCGCCCCGUUUUGCCCUAUUACCGCGGCCAUCAGGUAUGUCACGGCGAGACCCAUCCAACUCCAAAAUAACCCGCGGGGAGCAGCAGCCAGCGCGGCGGGGCCGCCAGGCCUCUCCCAGCCCGGCCGUGGCCCCUCACGCCCAGCAGCGCCGGCGCGGCCAUACCCGCCCGGGUCUCUCAGGGGCAGCGCGCCCUGGCACGGCGGGUGCCCGCGCUGCGGGGCCCUGUGCGCGCCCGCCCGGCGCUGAGGGGCCUGAGGGGAGCGGAGCGGCCCCGCCGGGAGCGGCCCCCGGGGCGGGGGGGGAGGGGGCACGCCGCGGCCGUUGGGGCUAACGAACGCCCGCGCCCCCGGCGGGGAGAGGCCGCGGUGGAGCUGCCAGAGCCGAGGCAGAAGCACACGCACCCCCCCCCCCGCACCCCCCCGUGUGUUUGUUGUGCUUCGCCACUGUCCCGCCGUGAGAGGCCGCCGCCUGACAGCUCCCCCGGCCGCUCCCCACCUCCGAGCACACGGCGGGGUCGGCGGCGAACAAACUCCUGCCUCAACUUUGGUGUGCGCGUCAGCCAGCACCCGCCCGGUGCGGGAAGGGGGGCGGGGGGGCUCGCCAAGCCACCCGCCAAGAACCGUCUUUUCUUUCCCCCCCCAAAAAAAGGGGGGGGGGGGCAGUAGGGGGGGGAUAAAAAGGGAAAGCGACGAGGAACUACCGUCAAGCACAGGGAGUAGCCAGGCGACGCUGAAGGCAGCCGAGCGUCCUGGAGGAGAAGACACCCAAAAAGGAGAAGGGGGAAGGUGCAAAGGCAAGGGAAAAGGAGGAAGAGGGUGAAGGGGGACGAGCUGAAGAGAAACUCCGAAGGAGGAGGAGAAGAAAGGAAUAGGGACGGUGAAAGAAAAGUGGGAAAAGAGAGAGCGGGCGGAGGAAGACAAAGUCAGCAGGACGAGAGAGACACAUGGAUGAUGAUGAUGAGGAUGAAGAUGAGGAUGGUGAUGGGGAUCCCGAUGCUCCUCCUGCUCCCGCGGCUCCUCUCCUCCUCACCUCCGCCUCCUCCACCUCCGCCUCGCAUUGCUGGCCUCAGCCGCCGCCGACCAGCACAGGUAGCAGGGGGAGCAGCAUGGGGAGAGCAGGAGGGGGGUGGGGGGGUGGGGGGCGAAGAGAAAGAGCGCAGAGGAAGGAAGGGUCUCACACACAAUAACACCCCCUCCCCGGCUCGGCGGGGUCUGUCGGGGCUGGGGGAGGUGGCGGGCGAGGUGAAGAGAGCGAGCGAGAGGCGGCUGAUCCCGCCGCUGGGCGCCCCCCCCCCCUCUCAGAGGCCCCGGGAGCUGGCGGCGGCUCCGGCUCCUGCGCUGCCCGGCUGCGGCGGCCGCCGCUUCAUUGUACACUGGCCCUGCGCCCUCCCCCCGCGCAGAGCCCCCGGGGGCGGAGGAGGAGCAGGCGGCGGCGGCGGAGGCGGCAGGGGCCGAGGCCGAGCGGAGGAAGUUUUGACAGCUCCAGCUGUUGUGUGUGUCGAGGGCUGAGUCCGGCCGGGCUCCGCGUCCCCUUCCCAGCCGGGCCGGGAGCAGGAAGUUUAACUUUGGGGAAAGAAGGAGGAGGAAGGGUGAAAAAGGGGGAGGAGGAAGGGGGAGGAGGAGGCGGAGGCGCCUCCCUCCCCCUUCCCCGCGGGGUGGAGAAGGGAUCCCGACGCUGCUGCCGCUGCUGCCCCGGCAGAAGGGUAAAGGCAUGAAGUAAGGAGAAUCACACAACUGUAACUGCAGGAAGAGGUUGCAAUGUUCAUUCAACUCUGCCACUUGCAGCCAGCAGCUGCUCUGCUGUCACAGACUGUGCCAGUGACGUAACUGCACCCUGUUAGGAUAAGACACCAGCUUGGAAGAACUCCUCCUAAAUGUGUUGGCAUUUUGGACUAAGAGCUGUUCCAUACGGACUUCCUGGGCAAUAUAUUACAGUAUUCCACAGUGACCUACUCAAAGUCAAGUUCAUGACAAAUGGAGAGGUAGGUCUUCAACACAGGUUUAAGACUGAGUAAUGAGAACACACAUCAAAAUAACACAUGGACUCAGUUAAGACUGUUGUAUUAGAAGACAAAGCAAAAAUGUAAUAAAAGGUGAAGUUCAUUUACAUAUAUAUAGCUGAAGAUCUGUUCUAAUGUUAGGCGGCUUCAUUAAUGUCAGCCAAAAAGUACGACCAAUAUGGAUAACUGAUGUCAUUUGUUAAAAGCAGAAGAAAAAUAAAGUGCUUCAGAAACUCAAAGACCGUGUUGACACAGAGAAACCAGUGAUGAAUUUAGAAGGUUUACAGCCAUCUUAGAAGUGAGGCUCUGGAACAGUCUUUGGACAGACAAGAACAACCUACAUAGCUUUAAGAUCAAAGCUGAUAAAUUGAUGAUGGAGUUAUGUAACACCAUGGACUGUGACAGCAAGGGCAAUUAUUGACCCUCAGGAAGGCUUCUUACAGUCUGUCUAUCAGAACACGGCCAAUUUAGUCUCAAACAUUUGUUUCUUGUGUGUAAAUUUCAUUUAAAAAAACCCCAAACAACAGACUGAAAGACCAGCGUUUUCUGUUGCUGCAUUUCUUAAAAACAGAAGUACAUCUCUUAAAAAAAAAAACUGUUAGGAAUUCAGGAGACUUGUGAAGUACAUACCAAUUUCACUACUGGUUCUUAAUUCUUGUGGGUAACACAGCAGUUCAGAAUUAGAGGGUGUAUUUAAAUAAUCUCUGCUCCAUUUGCACUGGCUUACCAGUAUUUCUCUGCCCUUUAUCCGUUACAUUGUAUUUGAAAUUUUCUGGGGCAGGAAUCAGAUAUUGCUAAACCCCUAACGUAUUCUCAAGUGCUGCAAAAUAAUACAUGAAUAGUCUCACAGUGACUGCAUUUAUAGACUAAGCAUCAUCUCUCAUCCAAUUAUCCUGAUUCUUUUUAUUGCUUUUUCUGCUGUUUCUUCUGAACCUUCUAUAAUUUGUGGGAAUUCAAACUGCAGACAAGUAUGUUGAUAACCACUGCAGCCACAUACUUUUCAUAUGAAAUCCAUUUAUUCAUACAUACAUUCAACUAUAGUACCUUGCAGCAUGAUCCUUACAGUUCACUAUUUAUAUGGCUUUUUUACUAUGUAUUUCUAGCUUUGCGUAAUCAGAGCACUCUCUUCCAUUUUGAAAUCCAUAAAACUUCAUAUGAUCUGGUAAACCUGUCCGACUUCCUGAAUAAUCAAGGGAUUACUAAGUGUGAUAAUUUCUGUUUAGCUCAGUAAUUUCUUUCAUUAAAGCAUGCAGUCUUGAUCUUAGAAAUUCCUGCUAGAAGAAUCUACCUUAAAGUUGUUGUACUGGUGUCAUUAGGAGGUAGCACAAUCUCUCCAGUUUGAAAUUCUUACUUGUUCACUAAAGGUCUAUAUAAGCCAUUUCAAUCCCAACAUCACUGCACACUCAUUCAGCUGAUUAGUACUUAUGUUCAUAAUGGAACUGUUUCCAAAGUGCCACCUAAGUAUAAUUGGGAUUUUUCAGGCCAAUGAAUGGCUUGAUGACUUGGCUUUAUUGAAAAAUCCUCUUUGCUCAUGCCCUUUUUCUAAAUGAUCUAAACCAGUCCAUAUCACUGAAGUCUUUGCUAUUUAUUGAACCUCAAGUUCUUUGCAAAUUUCUGCAGUUAUGACUUUGGGGUGGUUUUUUUAGACCACGGAUUAAAAAAAAAGAAAGAAAAAAUGAAGAGGUUAAAUGACAGAAUCUAGAACAAACUUCUGAAAAACUACUAGAAACAGACCACCAUGGUUGGUAUUUACUCACCUACACUUGUGCUUUGAUACGCAUUAAGUACAUUUUAAAGUCCAUUUAAUAAUGUUUGGAAUGGUGACUGCAUUAUUUCAUUUUAUCUAGUUUGCAUAAAACUACAUCAACAAUUAAAAUUCUGAAUUCAGGGCAAAAAGAUCUACUUGUACGCUUAUCUCUGCCAUACUGCUAUGAGAAUAAUUUUACAUGAACAUUUUUCCAUAAAUGGGGUAAAGACACAU